rnacentral:rRNA from 1 species
CUACGGGUUGCUGCAGUGGGGAAUAUUGCACAAUGGACGAAAGUCUGAUGCAGCAACGCCGCGUGGAGGAUGACACAUUUCGGUGCGUAAACUCCUUUUAUAUAAGAAGAUAAUGACGGUACUAUAUGAAUAAGCACCGGCUAACUCCGUGCCAGCAGCCGCGGUAAUACGGAGGGUGCAAGCGUUACUCGGAAUCACUGGGCGUAAAGAGCGUGUAGGCGGGUUAAUAAGUUGGAAGUGAAAUCCUAUGGCUCAACCAUAGAACUGCUUCCAAAACUGUUAACCUAGAAUAUGGGAGAGGUAGAUGGAAUUUCUGGUGUAGGGGUAAAAUCCGUAGAGAUCAGAAGGAAUACCGAUUGCGAAGGCGAUCUACUGGAACAUUAUUGACGCUGAGACGCGAAAGCGUGGGGAGCAAACAGGAUUAGAUACCCUCGUAGUC